rnacentral:rRNA from 1 species
GAUCCUGGCUCAGAUUGAACGCUGGCGGCAGGCUUAACACAUGCAAGUCGAGCGGAGUGAUGGUGCUUGCACUAUCACUUAGCGGCGGACGGGUGAGUAAUGCUUAGGAAUCUGCCUAUUAGUGGGGGACAACAUUUCGAAAGGAAUGCUAAUACCGCAUACGUCCUACGGGAGAAAGCAGGGGAUCUUCGGACCUUGCGCUAAUAGAUGAGCCUAAGUCGGAUUAGCUAGUUGGUGGGGUAAAGGCCUACCAAGGCGACGAUCUGUAGCGGGUCUGAGAGGAUGAUCCGCCACACUGGGACUGAGACACGGCCCAGACUCCUACGGGAGGCAGCAGUGGGGAAUAUUGGACAAUGGGCGCAAGCCUGAUCCAGCCAUGCCGCGUGUGUGAAGAAGGCCUUAUGGUUGUAAAGCACUUUAAGCGAGGAGGAGGCUACUGAAGUUAAUACCUUCAGAUAGUGGACGUUACUCGCAGAAUAAGCACCGGCUAACUCUGUGCCAGCAGCCGCGGUAAUACAGAGGGUGCAAGCGUUAAUCGGAUUUACUGGGCGUAAAGCGCGCGUAGGCGGCUAAUUAAGUCAAAUGUGAAAUCCCCGAGCUUAACUUGGGAAUUGCAUUCGAUACUGGUUAGCUAGAGUGUGGGAGAGGAUGGUAGAAUUCCAGGUGUAGCGGUGAAAUGCGUAGAGAUCUGGAGGAAUACCGAUGGCGAAGGCAGCCAUCUGGCCUAACACUGACGCUGAGGUGCGAAAGCAUGGGGAGCAAACAGGAUUAGAUACCCUGGUAGUCCAUGCCGUAAACGAUGUCUACUAGCCGUUGGGGCCUUUGAGGCUUUAGUGGCGCAGCUAACGCGAUAAGUAGACCGCCUGGGGAGUACGGUCGCAAGACUAAAACUCAAAUGAAUUGACGGGGGCCCGCACAAGCGGUGGAGCAUGUGGUUUAAUUCGAUGCAACGCGAAGAACCUUACCUGGCCUUGACAUAGUAAGAACUUUCCAGAGAUGGAUUGGUGCCUUCGGGAACUUACAUACAGGUGCUGCAUGGCUGUCGUCAGCUCGUGUCGUGAGAUGUUGGGUUAAGUCCCGCAACGAGCGCAACCCUUUUCCUUAUUUGCCAGCGAGUAAUGUCGGGAACUUUAAGGAUACUGCCAGUGACAAACUGGAGGAAGGCGGGGACGACGUCAAGUCAUCAUGGCCCUUACGGCCAGGGCUACACACGUGCUACAAUGGUCGGUACAAAGGGUUGCUACCUAGCGAUAGGAUGCUAAUCUCAAAAAGCCGAUCGUAGUCCGGAUUGGAGUCUGCAACUCGAUUCCAUGAAGUCGGAAUCGCUAGUAAUCGCGGAUCAGAAUGCCGCGGUGAAUACGUUCCCGGGCCUUGUACACACCGCCCGUCACACCAUGGGAGUUUGUUGCACCAGAAGUAGGUAGUCUAACCGCAAGGAGGACGCUUACCACGGUGUGGCCGAUGACUGGGGUGAAGUCGUAACAAG